rnacentral:rRNA from 1 species
UACAGAGGUCCCAAGCGUUGUUCGGAAUUACUGGGCGUAAAGGGCUCGUAGGCGGCCAACUAAGUCGGACGUGAAAUCCCCAGGCUCAACCUGGGAACUGCGUCCGAUACUGGAUGGCUUGAAUCCGGGAGAGGGAUGCAGAAUUCCAGGUGUAGCGGUGAAAUGCGUAGAUAUCUGGAGGAAUACCGGUGGCGAAGGCGGCAUCCUGGACCGGCAUUGACGCUGAGGAGCGAAAGCCAGGGGAGCAAACGGG